UACGAGGGGGGCGAGCGUUGUUCGGAAUUAUUGGGCGUAAAGGGUGCGUAGGCGGUUCCGCAAGUCCUGUGUGAAAUCUUCGGGCUCAACUCGAAGUCUGCACGGGAAACUGCGGGGCUUGAGUGUGGGAGAGGUGAGUGGAAUUCCCGGUGUAGCGGUGAAAUGCGUAGAUAUUGGGAGGAACACCUGUGGCGAAAGCGGCUCACUGGACCAUAACUGACGCUGAUGCACGAAAGCUGGGGGAGCAAACAGG
rnacentral:rRNA from 1 species